AAGUCAAAAGUCUAGGUCAGUGAUCAAUGCUGGGGGUGAAAAUAAAAGUGGGUUCCAGAGAGAGAGAGAAGAAAGGAAAGAGAAUGAUAGCGAUCCGAUUCCGAUUCAGUGUAACAGAUACUGGUAUUGACUGCCAAAAAUAGGUGGAUGGUUGAAAUGCGUCCAGUUUAUUAGAAGUUUAAAAGGAGAGAAUGUUCCGGCAUAACUAGACAGUCACAGAUUCCUUAAAUAAGCCAACAUGUGAGAUAAAUGGUUGAAGCAAUGAAAAGAGGGAAAGGAUGGACCCCUGAUGGGUAUGACUUUGUGGACAGCACACAUUUUAUUGAUGCAAACUUUGAUGAUAUAAUGAAAAAUCUGAAACCCUCAGCUAUUCCUACAAUAUUUCAGUGUCAUAAUGAUGCAGCUUCCUGGCCAGUUAAAAAGAAGGAAAAAUAAAGUCUUAAGGUGAAAGAAGAAAUUGUACAAUUCAAAGAGACUUCUGAUAUAUUAUAAAAAGAAAGUUCAAUGUUUAUGAGAGGAGUUAUAGAAAAGCCAACCUCACCUAAAACAGUUAUGAUGAUUUAUCUUUACAUCUGUUUGAGGAGCCUACAGGAAAUGCAAAUUAUACAGAUGAAAAAAUAUCCUUCACAAUAACAUUGCACUUUUACUGUCCUAAUGUGUAUGAGUUCCUUUCUACCACGUUUAACUUGCCUUCAACCAGAAAAGAUGUUGGCAAGUUUACCUUCAUCUAUUUCAGUCAUGAUUGCCUUUAUAUGUGGACAAAUAAGCCUAUACAGUAUUUCCAAGAAUGAGAACUUUGCAGGGUAGAGUCAUUUGACUUACAAGCCUCUUAGAGACCACUGGGACAUUGUUCUGGGCUGCCUUUGGUAUGGGGAACUCUCAGGCACCAGCUAUUAAAGAAGAAACAAAUAGCAGUCAGGUUAAUGGUGACUCAGAGAUAACAGAAAGUGUGCUGCUGAAAGUCAUUGUGGUGGUUGGCUACGUUUUGUAUGGAGUUUACAUUCUUGAUGCUGUCGUGGUCCUGAUCAACUUGUUCAUUGCUAUGAUGAAUUUGAAGACAUUUAGAAUGUCCAAAAGAUUAGUCAGCUAAGGAGCCUAAAAUGUUAGCCUGUUUACAAAUAUGAGAUCUUCCUUGACUACACAAGUACCUUACAAAAGAAGGCUACUCACUUGUGUUUGGAUAUGUCAGCUGUUUUGUCCCUGUGGCCCUUUUCAAGCAUGACAGAUACUAUUCUAAUCAGCUUUUUUCUCUGGAAAUUUUUCAACCACGGAAGCUAUGAGGGAUAUCUGAAAUCCAUUGCUUACUUGUCUAGAAAGACUUCCAUCGAUUGAGUGAUAAAAGAUUAAGUUUACACAACUUUUAGUAGUCACCACAUAACACUUAACAUUUUGAUGCUCAAGACAAUACUGUUCAUGAAUGGUUUAUUUUUCUUUAUGCUGAGAGUGUCCAAGAAAGAUAAGGUCAAAGGUUAAUUGGACAAACAAUAAACUUUGUCUUUGAAUCUGAAAUUGUAGAGAGAAAAAACAACAACUUAGUGUUGUUGUUAAUUUACCAGGUACCUACUAUUCAUUUACUUUGACUGUUGACUUUAAGUUAGAAAUUAAGGAAAGAUUUCUUUGAGCUAUAUUUGUCAAUGACCAUAGGCAUUAAGAGAGUUGACACCUCAUUUUACUUUUCAACAAGAUGAUGUCUUAAAAAAAUUAAGAGCUUUUGAUGGAAUUCUGUGGUUGAAUAACAUAAGUAAAGUUAAUCACAGGAUUCCAUCAAAAUCAUUGCAGUUUGAACAUUGUUGGUAGUGUCAAUGUUAUUAAGUUUUUUAGUUCUUGGUGUUACUACUUUAUUCAUUUUCUAGUGACCAGGCAGUGUUUUAUACCAUGAAUGAAUAUCUGUUGUAAGAGGUUUAAGGUAUACAACUCAAUCAAUAAUAUCUUUGACAAUAAAAUAUUUUGAUCAAGUUUAUAUUUUUGGAACAGAAUAUGCUAAUGUGUUAAAUGUACAUUUUUCUUUUUUUUUUUUGAAUAACAACUGAUAUUUAGUUUUAUCCCUUUGUAUCUUUCUACAGUAGAUGCAGUGUCAUACUAAAUAGAAAUUUUAAAAAAUUAUAAUAACUUCUAAUCAAAAAUCAAAUUAAAAUCAAAUAUCUAAAUGAAUCAUGCUACUUUGAUUCUACACAAUCUACAGGACUACCAAUGUACAUUAGUUUUGAACAAAAAGUUGCUAACUUUAAAUAAUUGAUUAACUCAUUUUGAUAUUUAUGUAUACCUUGUAAUAAAAGUGACAUUAAUUUUACAAUUUC